GAUGAACGCUGGCGGCGUGCCUAAUACAUGCAAGUCGAGCGAACAGACGAGGAGCUUGCUCCUCUGACGUUAGCGGCGGACGGGUGAGUAACACGUGGAUAACCUACCUAUAAGACUGGGAUAACUUCGGGAAACCGGAGCUAAUACCGGAUAACAUGUUGAACAGCAUGGUUUAACAGUGAAAGACGGUCUUGCUGUCACUUAUAGAUGGAUCCGCGCCGCAUUAGCUAGUUGGUAAGGUAACGGCUUACCAAGGCAACGAUGCGUAGCCGACCUGAGAGGGUGAUAGGCCACACUGGAACUGAGACACGGUCCAGACGCCUACGGGAGGCAGCAGUAGGGAAUCUUACGCAAUGGGCGAAAGCCUGACGGAGCAACGCCGCGUGAGUGAAGAAGGUCUUCGGAUCGUAAAACUCUGUUAUUAGGGAAGAACAAAUGUGUAAGUAACUAUGCACGUCUUGACGGUACCUAAUCAGAAAGCCACGGCUAACUACGUG
rnacentral:rRNA from 1 species